UGACAGUCUUUAUGUCCACACACAAUGUUACUAUUACAUAUACCAUAGUGACGACGUAAACAAAGUUUACAGAGGUUGAGCUUCCUCACUAAAUUCCAUCUCUCAUUUCUGUCUGCGGCUAAGAACUUUUUACACUUUUCAAUACUGUUGCACUGUUCAUAGCAGACUACACAAUUUUUUAUGUUCUGUACUUCGUGUGUAUUAACAUGUACAUUUCUUAUUUUGUUUGAGUGAAGCUCUGCUGACGUCGUUGUACUGCUGUUACUCUCAAUAUUAACGCUGCUUGCUGAAAUACCAACAUCAUAAAUCCAAUUUGCAAAUUCUGUUAAAUUUACUUUCUUAUUAUUUUUUAUCAAUUCUGUUUUGUGUGAACCCCAGUUCAAUUGAAAAUAAGAUGGCAUUUUGAUAAUUAAUUCCUGCAAUAGGGAAGAGUUAUUAAGUUCAUCUAAUAAACCACAAGCUUUAAUUGUAGUUUCCAAACCCUUUACUUCAACGGCGAAAGAUUGAACUUAAUAUUUUUUCUGGUUGGCCGUAAAGCAGUUUUAAAGUGGACAUAGCAGCUGGUACACAAGUGGGGUGGAUUAAAAUGUGCUGGACUGAUCGCAUAGCUUCUCCACGUAAUGCUCUUUGUAGGCGGACCAAGUUUUCUGCAUCAGUUAAGCCACAAAUAUUGGUGGACCAGUCGUAUGUUGAACUAAAAAGUGGCCAUUCUUCAGGCAUACCUGUAAACGUCGGUAGAUCUUUUGGCACAGUUUGUCGUGCGUUUAUUUGUUGGUGCGUGAGGUUAUUUUGAACAUUGCAUACAUUUGGUCUUAAUGUAGACGAGGGAUGCAUAUAAAACGUAGGUUCAUUAUAACGAAAAUCAAGCGGCGGAGCUGGUUGUGUUUGUGGAUUUGUUGUAGUGUACCGUGAUGUGUCCAUGCUUGGUCGAAAGGUAUACGAUGGCAGCAUGGGAAACACUGGGCCAGUAUAUGGAAUAUUUGGCGGUUGUGGUACUUGAGUUUGUGUGUUAAUUUCUGCAUUUGCAUUAUUGUUUAUAAUGUCACUUUCGACUUGUUUUGUUGAAUAUAAAUUAUUUUGUGAUGGAUUAUUAAUAAACGUUGAUAUAAUUGAU